rnacentral:rRNA from 1 species
ACUCCUACGGGAGGCAGCAGUGGGGAAUUUUGGACAAUGGGCGAAAGCCUGAUCCAGCNAUGCCGCGUGAGUGAAGAAGGCCUUCGGGUUGUAAAGCUCUUUUNANCNAGGGAANAAACCGGUGGGCAGCUAAUAUCUCUUGCGNAUGACGGUNCCUGCAAGAAUAAGCACCGGCUAACUNCGUGCCAGCAGCCGCGGU